rnacentral:tRNA from 1 species
GGGGAUUUAGCUCAGUGGUAGAGCACAUGCCUAGCAAGCACAAGGCCCUGGGUUCAAUCCUCAGCUCCG